AGGUCUCUAGACGUUACAGAGAACCCCGAACAACCCAAACUGUUAAUCUUCAAUACUGCUUUGUACUUACGAUCUUGUAUCCACUGACUGUCUUGUUAGAUUAACCCAAUAAAUUUCAUUCACUCAGCAUACUCAAUCCUAUAGACACCCUUUUAAUCCUUCAAUCACAGACGUAACUCGAUUUCACAAAACAGUCAAGAGUAUUCAAACCUACUUCAUUAAAAAUCCCGAUUCACCAUUACAAUACUGACUUCAGCAGCGAUUGCCUCAGUCUUCUCAAAACUCUACGAAGAAGAAAAAUCCAAAUUCUCUGUCUUUCCUUCCCCGACCCGAAGCAUGAACCUCCUCUCUCUUUAAUCCCUUUGAUCUCCAAAAACCUCCAAUGAAAACCGAACUAGUAACCUUGCAAAAGCUUGAAAACUAGCUCCUCCCGAUUCCCAGAGAAAAAUAAAAAUCCCCCUUCAAAACUAUAUCCCCCCUAACCUUAUCCUCUGAAUUUCUUCAAUCUUCCGUCUUAGAUCCAGAAUUGGCUCCCACCGUCAAGCUUGGAUCCAAAAUUGGCUCUCGCCGUCAGAGCUUUCUUCUCCAUUUUUACCUUUAAGAAAUCCAUUUACUGAAAACAACGUUCCCUGAAACGGCACAAAGAACAGGACAGCCCGAAACAGAAUUGAAACCCCGUAAUCGGGACCACAUUGAGUCGCCCGACCAAUUCAGGUCCCAUAUUGGGUAAGAUGCCCGUAAUAACCUGGAUGUUCCCGUAAUUGGAUCUGCAUUGGGUUGCCCGGCCAAUUCAGGUCUCAUAUUGGGUAAGAGGACCCGGAUUGGAUUCUCGAAAUUGGAUCCAAUUGGCUCUUCGAACCCGUCGUGUGAAUUAGUCCUUCUCUUCUUGCUGACUCCCGUUAUUGGAAUUGAAUGGAGCAUUUCAGUAUGCCCCAAAUGACUAUAACGGGGUGACUGAACCUGGCCACUCAAUAUUUGUACAUGAGUUGGUCGAUGCUCCCAAUAUUCGAGGUAACUGAAUAUUAAUAAAAUUCCCCUUUCUUUUUAUUUUCACUGUAUACUCGUGUUACAACACGACAUCCACUCCCUCUGAACCUGUGCAUCCUCCGAUAUGCACCAAUUUACCCAAUUGCUGUUUGAUUCAGAAUAUAUCCUCUACGUCUUUGUCCAGUUCGUCUUCGUCACCUUCAUUAUUCAAAUCACUUUCACCUUCUUGCUGCGGAAAUCUCUAUACCUUCAUUAAGGUCUUCCAUAUUCAUCUUUGCGUGUCUUCGUUUAAAUAUUUUUACUCGCUUCCCUGCAAUUGGUAUUUUCAAUUUUGUACCAUCUAACUCCCGUAAUGAGUAAGUCGCAUUACCAUGAACAGUUGUUACCACAUAUGGUCCAAACCAACGUUUUGAGAAUUUCUGCAAAGUACUAUGUUGAUUAUCCAGACUAUUGUCAUAAACAAGUACCCAGUCACCUUCCUCGAUUGCUUUUGGUCUCAAUCGAUGUUGCUUAUCGAAUCACGCCUUGUUUUGUAACCUUGCUCUUUUUAACCUUCCCAAUGCUAUCUGGACAUCUUCCGUUCUUUGCUCCAAUUGUCGAAUCCUAAUAGCCAGAAGUUCAUCUCUUGUCAAUCCAUCUUCCCAUGGUAGCAUACUCCAAGUAAGUACCUUUUCUUCAAUCAGCAUAAUUGGUUUUUGACCUGUCAUAAGUUCUACUCGCAUAUAUCCUGUCACCGAACUAUGUGUUGUUCGAUCAGCUCAUAAUGCAAAUGACAAUAGCCGUGGCCACUCUUUAACUUUCCCAUUACAAGCUUUAACCAAUGCUUUCACAAUCGGCGGGUGACCGCGUUCGCUUUUUGCAUUCCCUUCCGGAUUAUAAGCAGUAGUCAGUGAUAGUUUAACUCCACAUUUUUCAAAGAACUUACGAGCUUCUUGUGCAUUUAAUUCUCCACGAUCUGCAGUGAUUUUUCCUACGCAUUCGUAAUGGCAAAUGACAUCUUCAAGCAAAAACCUACAAAUCCCCUCUGUAGAUUUUGUCCUCAAUGCUCUUCCUUCUACUUGAUUUGAUAAAUCUUCACGAGCUAAAACCAAAUAUCUCAUCUGCCAUAACACAACCGCCAUAAUAACCAAAUCAACAACCCAUUUAAAAUGAAUAGCCAGAGGAUACGUAGGAUGAAGACCAUCUCGAUGUAAAAAUCCAUAUGCUUUUUUUCUUAUUUGUUUGAAUUUUUCUGUAGGCCAAUUCCCCUGCUUAGUCAAGGUAUUCAAAUAAUGACCAAUAUCCAAUAAUUCUCCUUCAUAAGAUUCUUCAAGAAAUAGCUUGUCUUCUCUGUUGAGAUUUGAUAUUGAAUAGAAUUUCAAUCCGACAUCAUCAAUGUCUUCAACCAUUUCGUCCUCCCUCUCGUAUCUUGGUCGAGAUAGCAUAUCUGCUACUAAAUUGUCCUUCCCAGUGAUAUGCUUAAAUUCUGGAUUUAGUGACUUAAUAUAAGCAAUCCAUUUCAACAUUGCAAUAUCUGGCGUUGAACAGUUAAUAAUCAUUCCAAGCAAUGGCAAGCAAUCUGUUUCAAUUACUACUACUGUCCCAAUCAAAUAGUCCUUUUCAGCUUUCAUAGCCGAAACGACUCCCCAAAGUUCUCUUUUGACUUACAAAUAUGCACGCUGAUGAAUACUUAAAACUUUAGCCCCAAAUUGAACUGCAAAUCUACUCCCAUAUGAAUCAUCUUGACCCACAGCCCAUCCAACGGCAAUUAGACUAGCGUCUACAGUAAGAAUCACUGGUCUAUUGCACUUAUAAUCAACCUUCCUCAAUAUUGGAGGUGACAUCAAUAAAUUCUUCAAUCUUUGCAUUGCUUGAAUAUGCCUUUCUUCCCAUUUAAAUCGGUAACCCUUGUCUAACAGUUCAUAUAAUGGAUCCGCUAUGUGAGCAAAAUAAGGGAUCCAGAUUCGAUAAAAUAUACAUGCACCUAAAAACCUGCGAACCUCUGUUAAAGAAUCACAAUCCUCCUUCAUUCUUCCAAUUGCAUCAACUUUAGUCGGAUCUGGUUUUCUUCCGUAAGAUCCACAUAAAUGUCCAACAAUUACAACCUCUCGUACUCCAAAUACGGACUUCAUACCCGAUAAUGUAAGAUGAACUUCUCCAAGCCGAGUUAAAAUCUUUUCACAAUCCUGUAUAUGAUCAACAAUAUAUCUGCGACACCCCCUCGUAUCUAAAGUCUCAUCCUUGUCUCCUUCUCUGCACCCUUUUAUAGGAACAUCAUCCAAAAAAGGCAUAGUCUUUUCCAGAAUAAAAUCUCUCAAUACCUUAUUCAUCCCAUUCAUCAUAUGCGCAAUUGAGUUGGUCGCGCCUUGAGGAAGAGUGCACAUUUUAACCAAUCCAAGUGGUGUCCUUAUUGUUGUCAUAUCUCUAAUUCCUUCGGCAAGUUGAAAUUGAUCAUAACCUGAAUACAAAUCACCCAUUGAAUAGAUCGCCCUUCUAGCAAAUGCCUCAGCAAAUUCAUCCACAAUAGGUCCAAUUCCUGCAUUCCUGACAGUUACUGCAUUCACCGGUUGCAUAUCUUGAAUAAAUCGUAGUGACCCAUUCUUCUUAGGUACCGUAAACCAUCGACUAGAAUACGACGCAAAUGAAGGUUCCAAUAUUUUCAUCUUUAUCUUUUCUUUCAAUAGUUCCACCAAUUUAGGUAAAUGUGCCCUCGGUACUGGAAUCGGUCUUAGAUUCCAAGGUAUAUGCGGUACAGUGAAGAUAACCAUAGGUGUUAUAAUAUUUGGAUCCACACACCCAAUUUCAUGAGAUUCGAAGGCAAACGAUCUACCUUGUUUAGCCAACAUCUUUUUGAAGCAAGUAAUUUCCUCUGACAAUAAAGAACCAUCAGAACCAAUCUUCAAUUCUUCAAAAGUCUCUUCAGUAAACUGAUGUCCAAUACUCAUUGGAUCUCUUAAACUUGCUUCUUUUGAUGCUUCUCCCAUUUGUUCUUUAGAAUCCUCUGGUAAUGGUCUGGCAACAGGCUUUACCUUCUUAUCUGCUGUUUUAUAUCUCGUCUCUACUGUGACUUCUGGUGCUUGAAAAGAUUCAAGCAUGGUAUAAACCUCUCUCGAAUGAAUCUCAACAAUCUUAUCAUUAUCCCCUAACCCAAUAGAUGUAAUCAAUUCCAAUGAAUCUUCUAGUCCAUUUUCUUCAUAAACAUCCAAAAUCCUCUCAUCAUCUUGCAAUGUACAUAUCUUGCGUAAUUGUCCUUCAAUAUUAUAUAAUCUUUUUCUUUCUUUUCUUUUAAAAUCAUCAACUUUCUUAUACAUAAUAUUUCCAUUCUCCAAUAUACCAAUAAAACUCGAAUCAAAGGCACCUUCAUCUCGCGAGAGUACCUCCUCUUUUGUACCUCCAUAAUCUCGCUUUACAGUGGUACCUCCCCAAAAUCCUUAAAUCCUUCAACAAUCUUUGGCAAUGGUUUCUCCCUCAACCUAUCCCGAUUCCGUUCAUGGUUAGGAGGUACUGUUAGAAAUUGUACAGCUUUCCUCCCAUCUUUGCUCCGUAUCCUUGCAUAAGCAGAACCAUCGUCAAGUACUUUUGUUUCCAUCCAUGUUGCCGUGAUAUAAGGUUGUCCUAAAAUCAAUGGAUAAGACAUUGUAUCUUGAACGAAGAAAUGUUGCUCCGUCGCAACAUCUCCAAUCCAAAUUUUGACAUCUGGACAAGCUCCAUAUAAUUCGCCCCGUGUGUUAUUAGCUGCUCGUAUUGCCCAUCCAUGUUCCAUAUCAAUUGGCCAUUUUUGCUUCUUAUAAAGAUCUUUAGACAUGAGAUUUAUUUCAGAACCAUGGUCGACCAAAGCAACUAUUGGUUCUUCUAUAUCUCCUACCUUCACCAAUACCUCAGUAGUUGCCCUCGCCCAAUGCUUUCGAGUAUAAUGGCUCAAAGUUUCCAUUUCCUUGUCAUUAGAAUCUUCGAAACAUACUCGCUGAUUAUACCCAUUCUUUUCAUUUGUUGGUUGCUUGUAACCAAUAUCAACCUCUUCUUCAUCUCUACAUAUUCUUGCAUCAAUAGCAUGACUCAUUCCAGUUUCGCCCAUUAAUUGCCUCUUUCGCUUAAUGCUGUCAAUGAUAACAUCAUGAAACUCCUUCUUUGCAAUUUCCAAGACUUCUUUUAAUGUGAAUUCCACCUUAGCGUUUAAUAUACGUUCUUCCAACACCCCUUUCAAAUUUGUUGCCGCUUCAAUGUCAGAAAGUAGCUUAUAAGCAAUUGAUUUGCCCUUAUCUUUUGUCUCCGUUGUUUUUUCUCCCAAUGAUGCUAAGGUAUCCUUUACAGGCAAUUCUUGUGAAGCUGCCUCCCGAGCCUUGUCUCCUCGAGUUUGCCUCUUAAAAGAAUUUCCUUCUCUAGUAUCAUCAAAAUUUCCUCGUCUUUUUUCUUCCAUCAAAGCUUCAUGUUGGCUCUUAGCAAUAUAUGUAUGAACUGAAAGAGACUCAACAAGAUCCUCCCAACCUGUUCUACCUCAUAUUGUAGCUGCAGUUCUCAAUAACGCUUCUUGAGGUAAUUUCCCUUCUUGCAUUGUAGAAACGGCAGAAGCCCAAAACUCACUAGUUUUCGUACUUCCACCAAUUUCAUCAUCUACUCUAGCACCAUAACUUGCACUUUCUCGUGCUACUGUUUCAUGCUCUUUUAAGUAAUCUUGAACCAAUGCUCUCAUUCCUCCCUUGCCAAAAUUGGUUUGAAGAAGAUCCUCUCUAUUUUUCAAUGCUAUCUUCCCAUCUUUCCAGUAAAUAAUUCCCUGCCAUAUCAUAUUAUUAAAUUCAUUGCAAUCUUUUCUAGUGUGUGAAGCAUCAUCACACCAAAUGCACCUUUGUACAUAUCCUUGUUUUGAAACAUUCUUUGAAUUAUUUAUAGAAGUAUUUUCUUCAAGUCUUGCUAAUUUGAUUUGAAGAUCUCGCAUUCUUUGUAUAAUUUGUUCCAUCCCCAUAUCUGCUUUCUUUGAUAAAGAUGUCGAAGGUUGAACUGUAGGCAUUGUUGGUGGUGUUGUACGUACUGGAGCUUUGGGUGCUUGUACUGUUUUCGGAAUAUUGCUCCUAUCCUUCCUCCUUUCUUUUUUUGUAAGCAACCCCACCGCAUCUUCAACGUUCUUCCACUUCGUUGUCAAUCCUUCAUCUUCUUCUUUGUCUUCAAGAAGGGAUUCUAAUUUCUCUUGCAAUUCUCCAUCAGCAGCUUGAAGAAAUAGAUCAACUUUGUUCGGCUCCAAUGUCAAUUUUUCUACCUUCGAUAGUUGAGAGUACUGCCUCUCAAAUUCCCUUAGUAGCUCUGUUGCUUGCAAAUUCUUAUUGGGCCGUUCAAUCCAUCCCAGAAACAGCUUCUUAGUAACGCAAUCAGUAUCUUCCAAGAAAUAUUCGUCUUUGAAUGCAUGUGAAAAAUCCUCCCAUGAAUUCCCAUAACGAUCUGUAAUCGAUGUAAUGUGGUCCCUUAUCUCCGGUAUCGUGGCAAGUCCAAAUAGUGCAACCAUUUUCUUCUCAGAAACCCGAUUUAAUUCCAUUUUACGAACAUAACAUCUUAAAUACCUUGAAAUAUUCCUCCCAUCAAAUUGAUCAAUUUUAUUGACCACUGCUUGCAAUGCUUUAGUUGCCAAAGCUUCCUUUCGAUCAUUGCUUUGCUGUUGCUGCAUUGACAAUGAGAAGGCUUGAAACAAACUAGCAAUAGACGGAUCCAUAUGCAUACCUUGUCCUUUAGAAGACUCCCCACCAAAAACUCCUCCCAAAAAUCCUUCAAAAUUUUUAUUUUCGUUUUCCAUAAAAAUAAAGAUAAAAUCAACCGAAAUCUAAUACCUUCCACCUCAAGCUUUCACGUCGAGUUCACCACUUUUGUCGUAUUACGUGCUUUCCUGCUCAAGAACGUGCCGGGCGUCUAGCUAUAGAAGGUAGUAUGGAGAUUCGCCGAUAGUCAAGCAGUCUAUCAGUUUUGACUGCUGGAAUAUAAACGACUGCAACAAUGUACCGUAAAUCUAUACGGAUGCUCUUCGACUGCCUGUCGAAGUCCUUUUUGCCCCAGUCGGUAGGUCUCUAGACGUUACAGAGAACCCCGAACAACCCAAACUGUUAAUCUUCAAUACUGCUUUGUACUUACGAUCUUGUAUCCACUGACUGUCUUAUUAGAUUAACCCAAUAAAUUUCAUUCACUCCGCAUACUCAAUCCUAUAGACACCCUUUUAAUCCUUCAAUCACAGACGUAACUCGAUUUCACAAAACAGUCAAGAGUAUUCAAACCUACUUCAUUAAAAAUCCCGAUUCACCAUUACAAUACUGACUUCAGCAGCGAUUGCCUCAGUCUUCUCAAAACUCUACGAAGAAGAAAAAUCCAAAUUCUCU
rnacentral:lncRNA from 1 species